GCCUUCGUGGUGUAGUGGUCAACACACUGGGCGAGUAUUCCAGAGGUCCGUGGUUCGAGUCCCAGCGAAGGCG
rfam:Stegodyphus mimosarum contig70322, whole genome shotgun sequence.